GGGAAUAUAGCUCAGUUGGUAGAGUGCUUGCCUUGCAUGCAUGAGGCCCUGGAUUCAAUCCCUAGCAUCA
rnacentral:tRNA from 1 species